CGGCAACAAGUGAGUGUCACUGCAGCCAUGGCGAUCAUCGUUCAAAUGUCAAUGUUUUGUUUGUUGCUGCUCUCGGUGUCCUGCAUCCCAGGAAGUGAUGCUGCUGAACUACCUCCAGGGAGCAUUCCUACUGUAUUUAAAUCCCAGCCUACAGUAAUAAAACCGCUACGGCUAAUACGGAGAAGAUCAGGAACGCGACGGCUCAUUCCAGUUUAAGCAGGCUAGGCAUCAAGAAAAUGAACAGCGUAGAGGUAGCAGCACCAUGUGACACACAAUAUUUUGAAGACUUUGUGCCGCAGUUUGCAACAAACUUGCAAAAAUAAAGGUGUCGCUGCAUUCACUGCAGACGCUACUGGUAAUAUUCUA